rnacentral:rRNA from 1 species
AUGAACGCUAGCUACAGGCUUAACACAUGCAAGUCGAGGGGCAGCAUGGUCUUAGCUUGCUAAGGCCGAUGGCGACCGGCGCACGGGUGAGUAACACGUAUCCAACCUGCCGUCUACUCUUGGACAGCCUUCUGAAAGGAAGAUUAAUACAAGAUGGCAUCAUGAGUCCGCAUGUUCACAUGAUUAAAGGUAUUCCGGUAGACGAUGGGGAUGCGUUCCAUUAGAUAGUAGGCGGGGUAACGGCCCACCUAGUCUUCGAUGGAUAGGGGUUCUGAGAGGAAGGUCCCCCACAUUGGAACUGAGACACGGUCCAAACUCCUACGGGAGGCAGCAGUGAGGAAUAUUGGUCAAUGGGCGAGAGCCUGAACCAGCCAAGUAGCGUGAAGGAUGACUGCCCUAUAGGUUGUAAACUUCUUUUAUAAAGGAAUAAAGUCGGGUAUGGAUACCCGUUUGCAUGUACUUUAUGAAUAAGGAUCGGCUAACUCCGUGCCAGCAGCCGCGGUAAUACGGAGGAUCCGAGCGUUAUCCGGAUUUAUUGGGUUUAAAGGGAGCGUAGAUGGAUGUUUAAGUCAGUUGUGAAAGUUUGCGGCUCAACCGUAAAAUUGCAGUUGAUACUGGAUAUCUUGAGUGCAGUUGAGGCAGGCGGAAUUCGUGGUGUAGCGGUGAAAUGCUUAGAUAUCACGAAGAACUCCGAUUGCGAAGGCAGCCUGCUAAGCUGCAACUGACAUUGAGGCUCGAAAGUGUGGGUAUCAAACAGGAUUAGAUACCCUGGUAGUCCACACGGUAAACGAUGACUACUCGCUGUUUGCGAUAUACAGCAAGCGGCCAAGCGAAAGCGUUAAGUAUUCCACCUGGGGCGUACGCCGGCAACGGUGAAACUCAAAGGAAUUGACGGGGGCCCGCACAAGCGGAGGAACAUGUGGUUUAAUUCGAUGAUACGCGAGGAACCUUACCCGGGCUUAAAUUGCAGAUGAAUUACGGUGAAAGCCGUAAGCCGCAAGGCAUCUGUGAAGGUGCUGCAUGGUUGUCGUCAGCUCGUGCCGUGAGGUGUCGGCUUAAGUGCCAUAACGAGCGCAACCCUUGUUGUCAGUUACUAACAGGUUCCGCUGAGGACUCUGACAAGACUGCCAUCGUAAGAUGUGAGGAAGGUGGGGAUGACGUCAAAUCAGCACGGCCCUUACGUCCGGGGCUACACACGUGUUACAAUGGGGGGUACAGAGGGCCGCUACCACGCGAGUGGAUGCCAAUCCCCAAAACCUCUCUCAGUUCGGACUGGAGUCUGCAACCCGACUCCACGAAGCUGGAUUCGCUAGUAAUCGCGCAUCAGCCACGGCGCGGUGAAUACGUUCCCGGGCCUUGUACACACCGCCCGUCAAGCCAUGGGAGCCGGGGGUACCUGAAGUGCGUAACCGCGAGGAGCGCCCUAGGGUAAAACUGGUGACUGGGGCU